CUGCUGCCUUCCGUAGGAGUUUGGACCGUGUCUCAGUUCCAAUGUGGGGGACCUUCCUCUCAGAACCCCUACGCAUCGUCGGCUUGGUGGGCCGUGCCCCACCAACUACCUAAUGCGCCGCAUGCCCAUCCGUGACCGGGGUCGCCCCCUUUGGCCGGCAGGGGAUGUCCCCUCCCGGCAUUAUGUUGUAUUAGGCGGGAUUUCUCCCGGUUAUCCAUCUGUCACGGCCAGGUUGCAUACGUGUUACUCACCCGUGCGCCGNGUCGCCGG
rnacentral:rRNA from 1 species